GUCCCUCACUCUCUUUCUAUUGUUUCUCUCUCAAGAAUUUUUUUUUUUAUUUGAAGGCCUUUUUUCCUGAUUUAAACGCGUUUUUGCACGAAUUGAAGGCAUUUUUGCAUGUAUUGAAGGUUAAGCUUACACUGGUUUGCAAAAUUGAAGCAUUGAAUGUAUUUAGUUCUACUGCAGAAACAUUACUGGCAUACUUGAGGGAACCAAGACAAGAAGCUUCUACUUCAACUCCUUAGAGAGGGCUAUUAUAAUAGAUCGAGAUUCAACUACAAGUGAGUUACAUUUACACGUUCAUACACAUAAUCAUGAUGGUAAAUCUUUUGUUGCUGAGCAUUCCCAACUUCUCAACGAAAAGUAUGAAGAAAUUGUACGAAAAAAAAGACAGACUGAAUCUGAAAUUGAUCAAUUGGAAUCAUAUUAUGAAGUUGCGGGAGGAGUAAAGAAGAAAAGAUUAUUUAUCUCGGAUAUGAAGCUGAAAGUUACUUUGGGAAAAAUCUUUUUGCAUGUAAUGCCUCCACAUCAUUAGUACCACCUUCAGUUUCUUUACCGACAAUAAAUUUGGAGUCUGUGAAGCAAUUGAUUCCGACACUUACUACUCACUUUCUUCUGAUAGUUACUAAGCAUGUUGGAGGUAUUACGGUACAAGAAGGGGCCGUACUUGAUCCUCCUCCUACUAAUGAUGGUGACGUUAAUUCGUAGCUUCAUAGUAUUUGUAGCCCUUCAUCAUUGCAUUAAUUUUUGCUAGACUAUUUUGUGUGGAAAUACAAAAUAGUUAUGUAGUAACAAAUACUAAUUUUGAUGGAUGUGGGUUUGACAUUAGUUUAUUUUUGACAAAAUACUUGAACUUUUGGAUGUUUGCACACAAUUAUGUGAUGCAUUUUGCUAUUCAUAUAUUUUGAACAUUCUAAUAUAAGUAAUUAUUUAUAUGAA